GAGGCUUGGGAAAGGGAACCUGAUGCAGCGACGCCGCGUGGGUGAUGAAGGCCUUCGGGUCGUAAAACCCUUUUCGGGGGGAAGAGGAAGGACGGUACCCCAGGAAUAAUUGUCGGCUAACUACGUGCCAGCAGCCGCGGUAAUACGUAGGACACGAGCGUUAUCCGGAUUUACUGGGCGUAAAGCGCCUGUAGGCGGUUUUGUAAGUCGGAUGUGAAAGCCCCAGGCUUAACCUGGGGAGGCCAUUCGAUACUGCGGGACUUGAGGAUAGCAGAGGGGAGUGGAAUUCCCGGUGUAGCGGUAAAAUGCGCAGAUAUCGGGAGGAACACCAGUGGCGAAGGCGGCUCCCUGGGCUACUCCUGACACUGAGAGGCGAAAGCUAGGGGAGCGAACAGGAUUAGAGACCCUGGUAGUCCUAGCCCUAAACGAUGGAUGCUAGGUGGAGGAUCGAUAGGUUUUCUGCCAAAGCUAACGCGUUAAGCAUCCCGCCUGGGGACUACGGCCGCAAGGCUAAAAACUCAAACGAAUUGACGGGGCCCCGCACAAGCAGCGGAGCGGGGUGGUUUAAUUUCGAUGUUACACGAAGAACCUUACCUGGGUUUAACAUGGGACGUGGUAGCAAAGCAAAAGCGGAGCGACCCUUCGGGGGAGCGUUGACGGGGGCUGCAUGUUUGUCGCCAGCUCGGGCCGGGGGGGGUCGGGUUAAGUCCCGAACCGGGCGCAACCCUUGCCCUUUAGUUACAAGUGUCUAAGGGACCUGCCCGGCGGAAAGCCGGAAGAAAGGUGGGAAUAAGUCAAGCAGCUGGGCCUUUUUAUUCCAGGGUUACCCACCCCCUACAAUGGUCGGAACAAUGGCCAGCCAAGCCGGGGGGGGAAUGAACCCAACAAACCCACCCCCGUUCGGAUUGCGGCCGCAACCCCCCUGAUGAAAGCGGAUUUGCAAUAACCGGCGGCCCCUUAUGGGGGGGAAACCCUUCCGGGCCUUGAAAAACCCCCCCUAAAGUUUGGGAGAUUGAAAAUCCUGAACCGGGGUUUUAACCCCGAGAGAGAGACACCUCAAAGCGAGUUAGACAUGGGACAAUCUGUACACGGUCCUGUCCGGAGGGGAGUGUUUCCACCCCUAAAAGGCAUAUUUCCG
rnacentral:rRNA from 1 species